AGCCGGUGUGCGGUGUACCCGUAGCUCCGAAAUCGUGUCAGCAUUUGAAUACACGUUUCGUUGCUCGGGUGCCCUGCGCAUAUUUCCGGGGUC
rnacentral:pre_miRNA from 1 species